CCUACGGGAGGCAGCAGUGAGGAAUAUUGGUCAAUGGACGAGAGUCUGAACCAGCCAAGUAGCGUGAAGGAUGACUGCCCUAUGGGUUGUAAACUUCUUUUAUAAAGAAAUAAAACGAGGCACGUGUGCCUUUUUGCAUGUACUUUUUGAAUAAGGAUCGGCUAACUCCGUGCCCGCAGCCGCGGUAAUACGGAGGAUCCGAGCGUUAUCCGGAUUUAUUGGGUUUAAAGGGAACGUAGAUGGGUUGUUAAGUCAGUUGUGAAAGUUUGCGGCUCAACCGUAAAAUUGCAAUUGAUACUGGCAGACUUGAGUACAGUUGAGGUAAGCGGAAUUCGUGGUGUAGCGGUGAAAUGCUUAGAUAUCACGAAGAACACCGAUUGCGAAGGCAGCUUACUAAACUGUGACUGACAUUGAUGCUCGAAAGUGUGGGUAUCAAACAGGAUUAGAUACCCCAGUAGUC
rnacentral:rRNA from 1 species